rnacentral:rRNA from 1 species
GGAGGGUGCAAGCGUUGUUCGGAAUUACUGGGCGUAAAGCGCGCGUAGGCGGCCUCUUAUGUCAGGUGUGAAAGCCCUCGGCCCAACCGAGGAAGUGCGCCUGAAACUGAGAGGCUUGAGUACGAGAGAGGAGGACGGAAUUCCCAGUGUAGAGGUGAAAUUCGUAGAUAUUGGGAAGAACACCGGUGGCGAAAGCGGUUCUCUGGAUCGAUACUGACGCUAAGGCGCGAAAGCGUGGGGAGCAAACAGGAUUAGAUACCCUGGUAGUCCACGCUGUAAACGAUGGAUAUUAGUUGUUGCGGGCUUAUAAACUCGCAGUGACGACGCUAACGCAUUAAAUAUCCCGCCUGGGGACUACGCCGCAAGGUUA